UACGGGAGGCAGCAGUGGGGAAUAUUGCACAAUGGGCGCAAGCCUGAUGCAGCCAUGCCGCGUGUAUGAAAAAGGCCUUCGGGUUGUAAAGUACUUUCAGUCGUGAGGAAGGUGUUAAGGUUAAUAACCUUAGCAAUUGACGUUAGCGACAGAAGAAGCACCGGUUAACUCCGUGCCAGCAGCCGCGGUAAUACGGAGGGUGCGAGCGUUAAUCGGAAUUACUGGGCGUAAAGGGCACGCAGGCGGUUAAUUAAGUUGGAUGUGAAAUCCCCGGGCUUAACCUGGGAAUGGCAUUCAAGACUGGUUAGCUAGAGUCUUGUAGAGGGGGUAGAAUUCCAUGUGUAGCGGUGAAAUGCGUAGAGAUGUGGAGGAAUACCGGUGGCGAAGGCGGCCCCUGGACAAAGACUGACGCUCAUGUGCGAAAGCGUGGGGAGCAAACAGGGAUUAGAUACC
rnacentral:rRNA from 1 species